ACGCGUCGCAUCGGCAUUUGGCGAGACUCCCGAAGUCAGCUAGACUGUAGACGGUCGCCAGUUCGCAGCGCAGGAAGAUGGAGUCUGAUGUGAGAUGGGAGCCUACCCUUAGAGUUUACUGCCCGUUGAAGGCAGGCAGUAUCGAUGGCACAGACACAAGACCCCAUGAUAAGGCCAUUGAAAGAGCCAUGAAGGCCAUCUACAAGCCCAAUAAAGCUGUUCAGGGUGACCCGGACUGCACGCUGUUCAUUGGAAGGCUUGAUUCUUCAACGUCAGAGCACACUCUCAGUAAGAUUUUCUCAAAGUACGGAGACAUUGUCCAUGUCCGUGUAGUACGAGACAUUGUCACUGGAAUGUCCAAGCGAUAUGCCUUCAUUGAGUAUAGCAAAGAGCGGUAUGCCUCCAGAGCACGACGGGAUGCCAACCGUUUAGCUAUUGACGGCUCAGAAAUUCUGGUUGAGUACGAAUGUGAACGAAUUCUGCCAAAGUGGAUACCAAGAAGAUUAGGUGGUGGGUUUGGUGGCAAGAAGGAGUCGGGACAGCUUCGGUUUGGAGGAUCAGACAGACCAUUCCGCAGGCCAAUCAUCAUCAGCAAGCAAGAUGACGGUAGUGGUAGAGUGGGCAGCAUUUUCAGGACUGUUUCAGUGCAAAGCUGUAGCAAAUAUCAGUGAUAAAAGACUGAUCCAAGCUAAGCAGGACAGGUGAGGCGACCAAACACUCUUAUCACGAGCUGCCAGGAAUGGGAAUCGUGUGGCAAGCGAGAGUAAACAAAAAAAUACUGAAUGGUUGUAUUCUAACGGUCUCAAAGGUCUAGCUGGUAAUGUACUCAACGUCCUACCACACUUCUAUCUACAAUGAACGACAAUUACUGUGCCAUUAAGUUCUCGGUUUAAUGCAGAUGGAACCGAAUCGACCAUGGAGUGGAAAUAAAGGUUCUGAUAUAAGAAAUUUGGAUACUUCACUCUACAAAUUGAAGCACAUUAACAGAACCCGGAUAUACCGUAUCGAGAAGUUUUUACCCAAGAUGUUCUUGCUGUCAUCGCACUAAUAUUUAUUUAUUUAUAAUUUAGUAUUUAUAUUUUAUUAUUUAAUUUAUUUAUUUAUAUCUGGCACAUUUAGGGUGAAGUGAUAAUUUAGAAGACAAUGAAGAAAUUUUCAGUUUUAGGGGUGGGAGGAAAGCCCUUGGUGCAUAUUCCAGGGACUGAAAACUGAAUCCAGAUGCUAACCUAGGUGAGAUUCGAACCUGCGUCAAAGAGGUGGAAGGCGAGGAAAGAGCCACUACACCAACCUGACUCCCAGUAAUCUGGCUAAUCUUAGUCUAUACAUUUACCCCGAAGUGUCCCAUCUUUAUGUGUGUUAAGGUAUGCCAUUUCCUUUUAUUCGUUUUUUAAUAAACUUGAAAAGAUGUGUCAUAUUUUUCAUUUAUCCAUUGAAGCAGUACUAAAGUAUUACCUACGACCUUUUUUACGCUUUUAACAAAGGCAGAAUUACUUAAGUUAAUGUUCAGUGUAUUGAAUUGAAUCAAACAACACGAAAAUAACAGCGACACGUGCGUUACAGCCAGGCAGGUAUGUACAUUGCAAAUAAUAUCACUCACGAUGAUGGACAAUUGGCGUCAUCAUCACUUCCGUUGUUGUUAAUUAAAAUGCGCAACGUCUUCAAGCCGUCUCUUUCGCGACUUUUCAAAAAAUCUUGUUGAUCAGUUGGACGUUCACCCAAAACGAACUUAAUGAGAUACCCAAAAAUAUUUGAAUUCCAUCUUAUCAAUAAAGCAUUCCAUAUUUCUCAGAAAUGUUUCAUGAGUGAUCACUUUUGGCGCUAGUCGACAAUUUUCAAGGACUCUGGAGACAAAAGUCUUUCUACCUCUCUGCAUGAGAGGUAGAUUUUUGUUUAAGUAUUUAUCUUAGGAAGCAAUUGUCGAACCACAAAGAUAAGCUUGACAGUAUAAAUUUAGGAGAUACCUUUAAGUUCCAAUAAAAAUGUUUUUUCAAAUCUAUCACACAGGCGUUACUCAAUAAAAGACAGCCAUUAAGUGCCAUUCUUAAGAACUGUCUGUAUACACAAGGUCAGGGUGUGCUUGCUAGUAUUAAACAGAAAUGUAAUCUAUUCAAGUUAUGCACUGUAAUAUCAAAAAUUAUCAUGCUAUGUCUAGUGUCGGACUUGCUUUUCUGUUGAAGUCAGGGGAACUGUUACAACCAGUAAACUGAACUGGACAAAUGGGUAGAGAGACUAGAUCUUUUAUCCUUUCAUUUAGGUUGUGUAAUUCGCA
rnacentral:misc_RNA from 1 species